rnacentral:rRNA from 1 species
GAUAACGCGUGGCGCGCACAGUAAGACAUGCAAGUCGAACGGGACUUAACGUCAAGUUCUUUAGAUUGAGAGCGGUUAGUGGCGGACUGGUGAGUAACACGUAAGCAACCUGCCUAUUAGAGGGGAAUAACAGUGAGAAAUCAUUGCUAAUACCGCAUAAGACCACAGAGCCGCAUGGCUCAGGGGUCAAAGGAGAAAUCCGCUGAAGGAUGGCCUCGCGUCCGAUUAGCUAGAUGGCGGGGUAACGGCCCACCAUGGCGACGAUCGGUAGCCGGACUGAGAGGUUGAUCGGCCACAUUGGGACUGAGACACGGCCCAG